rnacentral:snoRNA from 1 species
CAUUAUCCAGGAUAGACCAUGUGUUAGGCCACAAAACAAGUCUUAACAAAUUUAAGACAGGAGGGAAAGCAAGCCUAGCAGAGGAACCCAUUCCAUUCCCAGCUUGUUUGGUAGCUGGUGAUUGGAAGACACUCUGCAACAAGU